AGAGUUUGAUCAUGGCUCAGGAUGAACGCUGGCGGCGUGCCUAAGGUAUGCAAGUCGAGCGGUAAGGCUCCUUCGGGAGUACACGAGCGGCGGACGGCUGAGUAACGCGUAGGAACGUACCCCAAACUGAGGGAUAAGCCCGGGAAACCGGGUCUAAUACCGCAUGUGCUUAUUUAUAAGUAAAGCUACGGCGGUUUGGGAGCGGCCUGCGUCCGAUUAGGUUGUUGGUGAGGUAAUGGCUCACCAAGCCGACGAUCGGUAGCUGGUCUGAGAGGAUGAUCAGCCAGAUUGGAACUGAGACACGGUCCAAACCCCUACGGGGGGCAGCAACUGGGAAUCUUUCACAAUGGGCGAAAGCCUGAUGGAGCAACGCCGCGUGCAGGAGGAAGGCCUUCGGGUCGUAAACUGCUUUUAUCUGUGAAGAUAAUGACUGUAACAGAUGAAUAAGGGUCUGCUAACUACGUGCCAGCAGCCGCGGUCAUACGUAGGACCCAAGCGUUAUCCGGAAUCACUGGGCGUAAAGAGUUGCGUAGGUGGCAUAGCAAGCAAAUAGUAAAAGCGUAUGGCUCAACCAUACACCUAUUAUUUGAACUGCUAAGCUUGAGUAUGAGAGAGGUAGAUGGAAUUUCUAGUGUAGGAGUGAAAUCCGUAGAUAUUAGAAGGAACACCGAUGGCGUAGGCAGUCUACUGGCUCAUUACUGACACUAAGGCACGAAAGCGUGGGGAGCGAACGGGAUUAGAUACCCUAGUAGUCC
rnacentral:rRNA from 1 species